UACGUAGGGUGCGAGCGUUGUCCGGAAUUAUUGGGCGUAAAGAGCUUGUAGGCGGUUUGUCGCGUCUGCUGUGAAAUUUCGGGGCUCAACCCCGAACUUGCAGUGGGUACGGGCAGACUAGAGUGUGGUAGGGGAGACUGGAAUUCCUGGUGUAGCGGUGAAAUGCGUAGAUAUCGAGAGGAACACCUGCGGCGAAGGCGGGUUGCUGGGCUGAUACUGACGCUGAGGCGCGAAAGCGUGGGGAGCAAACAGG
rnacentral:rRNA from 1 species